rnacentral:rRNA from 1 species
AGUGAACGCUGGCGGUAGGCCUAACACAUGCAAGUCGAACGGCAGCACAGGAGAGCUUGCUCUCUGGGUGGCGAGUGGCGGACGGGUGAGGAAUACAUCGGAAUCUGCCCAGUCGUGGGGGAUAACGUAGGGAAACUUACGCUAAUACCGCAUACGACCUUCGGGUGAAGGAGGGGGAUCGCAAGACCUCUCGCGAUUGGAUGAGCCGAUGUCGGAUUAGCUAGUUGGCGGGGUAAUGGCCCACCAAGGCGACGAUCCGUAGCUGGUCUGAGAGGAUGAUCAGCCGCACUGGAACUGAGACACGGUCCAGACUCCUACGGGAGGCAGCAGUGGGGAAUAUUGGACAAUGGGCGCAAGCCUGAUCCAGCCAUACCGCGUGGGUGAAGAAGGCCUUCGGGUUGUAAAGCCCUUUUGUUGGGAAAGAAAUCUUUCAGGCUAAUACCCUGGGAGGAUGACGGUACCCAAAGAAUAAGCACCGGCUAACUUCGUG